rnacentral:siRNA from 1 species
UUGGUUAUUUGAUCAAACGGCGC